rnacentral:rRNA from 1 species
UACGUAGGGUGCAAGCGUUAAUCGGAAUUACUGGGCGUAAAGGGCUCGUAGGCGGUCAAUUAAGUCAUACGUGAAAUCCCUCGGCUUAACCGGGGAACUGCGUCUGAUACUGGAUGGCUUGAGUUCGGGAGAGGGAUGCGGAAUUCCAGGUGUAGCGGUGAAAUGCGUAGAUAUCUGGAGGAACACCGGUGGCGAAGGCGGCAUCCUGGACCGAUACUGACGCUGAGGAGCGAAAGCCAGGGGAGCAAACGGG